rnacentral:lncRNA from 1 species
UAUAUAUCAACAUAAAGAUCCAGAGAAGCCCGUAGCAUGGGCCUCAGAAUACAAAAGAUCUAAAAGGAAGCCUGGUGGGGACGAAGCCCAGUUCGAAGCAAGAGUGCCAUUACAAUGGGCUUUGGCAGCCCAAUCAGCCACAAAGUUUGCCUCUCUGCUACAGUGACGCACAGCUAGGUUAUGGAAAUUAGAGAGCUUCAUUGCCGCUUCAGCAAUGAGGGAACACACCUCCCAUGGAGUCUCGAUCGGGUCGUGAAGAGCAUUCACCAACACCAUACAGUCCGAUUCAAUGAGAAAAUGAUCCUCAUACUUCCCUUCUCGUGACAGAUGAUCAAGGGUAAGGAUGAGAGCUUGGAUCUCGGUCUGCAGAGCUGAUUUCGCUGGAAAAUCACAGGUAAAUCCACAUAUAAAGGUGCCCGAAUGAUCCCUUUUAAUGCUUGCCAUCACUCCUUUGAUAUUAUCAGGAUAAAAAGCCCCAUCAAUGUUAAUUUUCACCACGCCAGGAUCUGGUGGUCGCCAUAGUGAAUGAGGAUGUAGAGAACAGAGGGAUGUUCGCUACAGAGAUGAGCGGGUUGAUUACUGUGGCAACGGAUCAGAGAGAUUGUAAGCGUGAACCUAGGCAGAAGCCAUUUGAAUAACCUGAAGAUGAUCAAGAUGCUGUUGCUGAAAUACAAAGCAGUUGCGUGCCUUCCAAAUUUGCCACAACAGAGCUGCAAUCAUUUGCAGAUCAGGACAGGUACGCCGUUCUUCUAGCUGAGCGACUAACCACACAUCUAUCCGUGUAAUUGAUUGCUGAGUGAUGGGAAUGUUAAUCUGUGGAUGAGACCAUAGAUGUUGUGCCCAUGGACAUAGUAGGAAGAGGUGUUCUGUAGUUUCUGGGAUAAAGUUUGAACAGAUGGGGCAAUAGGAAUCUGUAGUGAUGCAUCGCUGGAAUAAAUUGGCUUUCGUAGCUAAAGCGUUAUGGCAGACCGACCAGAGGAAAGGUCGGAUUUUAGGGGGAAGCUUCACAGCCCAAAUAGCUUUCCACAGUGAUUUGGGUGGGUGAUAGGACGAAGAUGCUAUAUUUUGUUGAGUAGUAGGAGUUGCAUUCCUAAGGGUAUGAUAUCCUUUUUUUCACCGAAUAUGUACCAUUUGUA